UGGAUGCUGCAAAUUAUUUCAAGUAAUUUUCUAAUGGGAGAUUGAGGCUGAGAUCUGAUCAAUAAAACAGUAGCACAACCAAUUUGCUUUAUCAUUGAAAAGCUAAAUUUCUGAGUGACAAAGAUUAUAGAUUUCUUAGUAAGCAGGAUUUAUUUAUUUAUUUAUUUAUUUUAAUAGAAAAGAAGGUGAAAAGCAAUGAUUAACUGAUACUAGAAUUUAAUGAAGUUGGAAAUCAACAUAGCCAUGUGGCAUGACAGAAUUACACUUAAAAAUGUAUUGUAAUUUCAGUAUGCAGCACUUCAAAUAUUUGCUCUUGAUUAAUAUAAGAGCUAGAAUAAGCAUCUAGCAGUCAGGAUUUAAGAGAGUAGUUUUCUCUGUAUUUAGUAAUUCAGAAUGAGAAUUCUUGUGAAGUUAUCUACUGAUACCUGCCCCCUGAGGCCAAAUUAAAUUCUUGAACAGGGAAGUAAAGAUUUGAGGUUCUGCAAGGAAUGUUGCUUUAUAACAUCAGAGGGAAGGAAGAAUUUAUUUGCUUUGAAAGAUGCUGGGCAACUGUUCAAAAAGACACUUAUAGAGGGAAGAGAGAUUCAUCAGCUAAGUAUCCAGCAGUAAUGUUCACAUAGUAAACCCCAUCAAAAUUGAGAGUGUAAGUGAAGUAUACAUUAUUGAUAAAGAUCAGUUUGAUCUUUAAGUUGUUUUUUUUUGAUCUUUGAUCUUAAGGUUUCUGGAGGGAGAAGAGACCAAUGCGAAGUGAUGCUGCUACCAACUUUUAGUUGCAAUGCUAUAGCCAUUUUCUGAUACUGUGCUCAUUCCUAUUAAAAAAAAAAAUAAAUCUCAGUUCCUUAAAAAUUAAGAAAGUGUC
rnacentral:lncRNA from 1 species